GCCCGGGUGGUGAAAUCGGUAGACACAAGGGAUUUAAAAUCCCUCGGCUGUACGGCUGUGCGGGUUCAAGUCCCGCCUCGGGCACCA
rnacentral:tRNA from 1 species